rnacentral:rRNA from 1 species
UGAGGAAUAUUGCACAAUGGGGGCAACCCUGAUGCAGCAACGCCGCGUGGAGGAUGAAGGCCUUCGGGUCGUAAACUCCUUUUCCAGGGGAAGAGGAAGGACGGUACCCUGGGAAUAAGUCACGGCUAACUACGUGCCAGCAGCCGCGGUAAUACGUAGGUGGCAAGCGUUAUCCGGAAUUACUGGGCGUAAAGCGCGCGCAGGCGGCCGAGCAAGUCUGACGUGAAAGCUCCCGGCUUAACUGGGAGAG